UAAAAAAGUUUUCUUUUGCAUCCAGAUUCACGUCGACAACGUUGUAUUUUUUUGUGGAUAGUUACUCAAAAAAUCUCUCGAUGUUUCUUAGAAUCUUUUUUGAUUUCUGAUUUUGCUAUGAAUGUGUGGUCAUGGUAAGGAAACUUCUCGGUUUAUGAAAAAAGGAUGUAUGUGGAUAACUUGGUUGGUAUUUCAACAGAAUUUAUGCCGCGGCGAUUUCUUUCCAUGAUGCUGCAUCUCGUGGUGUAUGAUUCGUGAUGGGACUAAUCCUCCAUUGCAUAAGCAGUUGCAUGUGCUACAUGAUCAGUAAUUCAUGGGUUUCUUAUGAUAUUCAAAUGACUAUUUGAAAACAAAUAGGACCAGUACUUUGGUCAAGCUGUCUAUUGCUAUGCUGUAAAGUGAUAGCUGUGUCUUCUAUGUCCAAGGUGAAAUUUCGAAGAUGUUCUUGCACGAUCGGCAUCGUUAAUCUUUGGGCCUUAUAAUGCCGAUCACUACAUUAACGCGAGUCCCUUGGGCUUUUCUCACUUUUUUGCAUAUUUCAGGAUGGGAUAGGUGGUAAUCUGCUUAAAAGCUAUUGUUUUGCUGCAAAUUCAAAAAAAACCAUACUGUAUGCCACUUUAAGUGAUUGACUGGACAAAUGGAGACCAUGGUUGGAACAAUACUUCAUGGUCGUUGGUUAAGCAGCCUGGUGCCAUGCCGUAUCCCGUUAGAGGAACUUUCUUCAUGUCAGGUGCCAUAAAGCAUUUGCAAAUUAUGAUGAAGAUGAAUGUACAGUCAAGAUGUGCGCUGUUAAUUCAUGUCUUGCUUUUCAGAGCAUGUAUAUUGUCUUGUCAUGGGGUUUCAUUGUGUUGGUUGUAUUAAGAGUCUGCUACUAUGGAUUAUCUCAUUUCAGGUCGUACAGUAUCAGCAAAUGAUCAAGUUGGAGGAUUUUUAAGACAUAAGCCAGAGCGUUGCUUCUGGCUUAUGUUUCUUGGAACUACAGCAAUUAAGCCAUCGACUAUUAUAAUAAUGGUACGCUGGCAUUAUCUUGGACACUCGGUGUUCUUGUUCGUUGUAAAUCGGUUUUUUUAUAGUGCUGAUUGCUAUAUUAAGGUUGUCGAUUGUUUAGUCCUCCAUUGCCGAUCAUUUUGAAAAUGCUAAGAGUGACGAUAUCCAAGUGAUGGCCUACGUUGACGGAAGUCUUUUUACCUUCCCAAAAUUCAAACGAAAAAAAAAAAAAGCGAACGUUUUAAUUUGUGCACGGAUGUAGUUAAUCAUAUUAGCAAGAAAUUUGUGUUAAUUCACGUUUUAUUUUUUCCAAUGGAGGUCGAUGACCAUUGAAACGAAAUAGGCUUCCGGUGGUAGUCCGGUGAUGAAUUUAUUGGCAGUUGGAAGAGGAUUCGAAACUUUUCCUAUACUCUAAUUUUUUCAAAAUAUUUACAAGAAAAAUGUAUGUUGGUCUGUGUUUCUGUUGCCACCUUUCCCCAUUACUUGUGAUAAGUCCUUAGUGGGUUGUGCCGGUACUGUUAUCUAUAUGCCUCAGGAUUUAUCCAAUCCAGACAUCUUCAUAUAUGUUAAUUAUAAAGCCAAUUAACAUAAUGCGUGCAUGAUGAGUUUCAAUAAAACGAAUUUUUUAACAA
rnacentral:lncRNA from 1 species